AUUUAAAUGCUAAAGGGCAGCUCCUCUACUGAAGGCAACUGAAGCCAAGAGAGCUGUGACAGUUUAUGCCAGCUGAAGAUUUGCCUUUAAGUAAAUGUUUUAAACUUUUCACUAAGGAGACUAAAAUAAGCCAUAGCAUGAAACGUUAAGAGCAAAGAAUGAACUCUGGAGACCAGAGGGAUUUGGGAAAUGAAAUGAGAUCCAUCUUACUGGCACAUUUCCCCCUCCGUCUAUUUUUGGAAUUUAAAAAAUUCCCCCAGAUUUGUCUUCUACAGACCAGCUUUUUGUUCACAGACCAGCACUGAGCAGCCUCCUCUUUCACACAGGGCAGGCAUACUGAUACGCUUUGUGAAAACUAAACUAGGAACACCUGCAGAGCCCCCUGGUGAGCCCCAGUGGAGGGGCUCUGAACUGAAGAGGAACACAUCUAAUGAUGCCCUGAAGUUUAGUCUGAGUAUCUCCAAAUGGAGCAUAGCUGGAAAAACAAAUCAUCUGGGGAAUGCAUUGUCUGGCUGCACAGGCCACAGCUCCAAACAGGAUGUAGUGAAGCUGCAUGGGAAACUGAUCCAGCUGUGCUACAGGAUGGAGAAGGUUCAAGUGUGUCAGCUCCUGGUCUGAAUGUGGGAACAGCAGAAACACGCUGUGUAGGUGGCUUACACUGUGUAGCCAGCGAACGUGCCUGCAGAUACAUGGGCAAUACCAGCACAAAGGCUACUUGCUUACCAGCCCACGCACAAAUCUGUUCCACGCUCCGCACGGGAAGAGGCAGCAGCAUCGCGGAUGAGCGAAGGCUGCAGGGUGCUGAUAUUUGGGUGAAAAUCCACACCCCACUGUGUUAUUCAUCCCUCACCAGUCCUCCAAAAUCUCCUCCCCCAGGAUAGUUUUUUGGACAGCAUCGGGAUAAAUUCUGCUGGAGGAUGGCAGAACAGGCCAAGGAGUGAGUCAAAAAUACCCACUCGUUUGAGGGAAUGAAGUAGUGUGGAAGGACUGGGUGCUAUUAAGUUGAAAGCUGUUUGUGUAGCACGGCUGCCUAACAAACAACCCUUUCAAAUAAAUUCUGAAUAAGAAU
ensembl:lncRNA